CUCUCUCUAAACUUCAGUUCUUCUUCUUCUUUCAUAAGCUACUGUAAUAACACCUUCAUGGAAGCUCUAAAUUAAACUCUAACAAUGGAGGUUGUAACAUGGUAUCAGCCUAAAAUCGAUCCUAAAACGUCCUUUUUUGUUCGUAUUUUCUUAUUCUCCUUUCUAGAUGUUUUUUUUGCUCAUUUUCUGUUCGUAUUUUUUUUCCUUCGAAUCCUAAUUAUAAUGCUUGGAUUCGUUGCAAUAAUAUGAUUGGAAACGUUCCAUGAUUAUCGGUCUCACCGCUAAAAAUAAAAUGUCCUUUGUUGAUGGUUCUUUGCCUCAACCUUCAUCUACUUCUCCUGAUUAUAAUGCUUGGAUUUGUUGCAAUAAUAUGAUCAUCGGUUGGCUCAUUGCAUCCAUGGAUCGUUUGACGGCCAAAAGCAUCAUGUAUUGUAGUACAACACAUGAAAUAUGGACUGAUCUUAAAGAUAGAUUUGGUUAGGCUUCUUUGGCUCAACUUUACUCUUCACAAGAAGACCUUAUGAACUUGGCUCAACAACCUGAUCAACACAUCUCUGAUUAUUUUACAAAAAAUGAAGACUAUUUGGGAUGAACUUGAUCAUCUUAGUCCCUUGCCUUAUUGUACAUGUACUGGAUGUAUUUGUGGUCUUACAAAGAAAUUUCUUACACUCCAGCAAAAUCAAAGAGUGAUGCAUUUUCUUAUGAAGGUUCAUGAUGAUUUUCAGCAAGUUCGUACUAACAUUCUUAUGAUGGAGCAACCUCCGACUAUUUCUCAAGCUUAUCGUCUUCUUCUACAAGAAUAACAUCACAAAGAGCUUAAACAUCUUUCCCCUCCUUCAUCGGUUUCCAUGGCUUUUGUUUCCGACCGUAAAUAUCCAUGUCAUUGUCAUUCAUCACACAAAAAAUCUUGUUCGGUCUCUGGUCAUAAGCGCAAUUCCCGGUAUUUUUGAGAGCAUUGCAAGAUUAGUGGUCACUCCAUUGAUCCUUGCUUUAAAAUCCACGGUUAUCCUCCAAACAACAAACCUGAUAAGAGAGUAGCUGCUACUGUGCAUACUCCUAUUGAUGAUGAAUCCACUGCCUUGGAACAUAUCGGCCUCACUUCCUCACAAUUUAAUAGUCUUUUGUCUCUCCUUGGCAAACAUAAGUCAUCUUCCAUUGAUACGGUUCCUUCAGAUCCAUCUCUUACCACCACUACUCAUCUAGUAGGGCCCUUCCAUGAGAGAGCCUCUGGUUCUUGAUAAUCAUUUUUCAUGGUUUAUGCUGCACAUCACCGCAAUUUUCUCAGGAUGUUUCUCCUAAAUGUCAUGCCACAGUAACAGUUCAUGCCAACAACAAGAAAGACUCCCCUAUGCUAUGUCACCUACGAUUAGGGCAUCCCACUUUACACAAUCUCAAGUUACUUUUUCCUCAUCUUGAUGUAAAGUCAUUCAAAAAUAAUAUCAUUUGUACUAUUUGCCCUAAGGCUAGACAAGCUAGGCUCCCUUUUAGUUCUAGCUCCAUUAAGUCUACUGUUCCUUUUUAAUUAGUGCACAUUGAUGUAUGGGGUUCUUAUACUCAACAUACAUAUACUUCUUGUUCUUAUUUUCUCUUUAUAGUUGAUGUUUUUACUCGUUGUACAUGG